CUUCGGGUGAACUGUGGUUAAGGAACUCGGCAAAUUGCCCCCGUAACUUCGGGAGAAGGGGGGCCUCCGCUGGUGAUCAGACUUGCUUUGUGAGCUGGUGGGGGUCGCAGAGGCCAGGGGGAAGCGACUGUUUACUAAAAACACAGGUCCGUGCGAAGUCGUAAGACGAUGUAUACGGACUGACGCCUGCCCGGUGCUGGAACGUUAAGGGGACCGGUUAGCGCAUCUUCGGGUGUGCGAGGCUGAGAACUUGAGCGCCAGUAAACGGCGGUGGUAACUAUAACCAUCCUAAGGUAGCGAAAUUCCUUGUCGGGUAAGUUCCGACCUGCACGAAUGGCGUAACGACUUCCCCGCUGUCUCAACCGCAGACCCGGCGAAAUUGCACUACGAGUAAAGAUGCUCGUUACGCGCAGCAGGACGGAAAGACCCCGGGACCUUCACUACAGCUUGACAUUGGCGUUUGGAACGUCUUGUGUAGGAUAGGUGGGAGACUGUGAAGCUGUCACGCUAGUGGUGGUGGAGUCAUUGGUGAAAUACCACUCUGGUCGUUUUGAACGUCUAACUUCGGUCCGUGAUCCGGAUCAGGGACAGUGUCUGGUGGGUAGUUUAACUGGGGCGGUUGCCUCCUAAAGAGUAACGGAGGCGCCCAAAGGUUCCCUCAGCCUGGUUGGUAAUCAGGUGUCGAGUGUAAGUGCACAAGGGAGCUUGACUGUGAGACCGACGGGUCGAGCAGGAGCGAAAGCUGGGACUAGUGAUCCGGCGGUGGCAUGUGGAAGCGCCGUCGCUCAACGGCUAAAAGGUACCCCGGGGAUAACAGGCUGAUCUUCCCCAAGAGUCCAUAUCGACGGGAUGGUUUGGCACCUCGAUGUCGGCUCGUCGCAUCCUGGGGCUGGAGUAGGUCCCAAGGGUUGGGCUGUUCGCCCAUUAAAGCGGUACGCGAGCUGGGUUUAGAACGUCGCGAGACAGUUCGGUCCCUAUCCGCUGCGCGCGCAGGAGACUUGAAAGGAGCUGUCCCUAGUACGAGAGGACCGGGACGGACGAACCUCUGGUGUGCCAGUUGUUCCGCCAGGAGCAUGGCUGGUUGGCUACGUUCGGAAGGGAUAACCGCUGAAAGCAUCUAAGCGGGAAGCUCGCCUUGAGAUGAGGUCUCCCACCACGAGAGUGGGUAAGGCCCCCGGGAGACGACCGGGUUGAUAGGCCGGAGGUGGAAGCAUGGUAACGUGUGGAGCUGACCGGUACUAAUAGGCCGAGGACUUGACCUC
rnacentral:rRNA from 1 species